rnacentral:rRNA from 1 species
GCAAGUCGAACGGUAACAGUCUCUUUGGAGAGCUGACGAGUGGCGCACGGGUGCGUAACGCGUAUGCAACCUACCUCUAACUGGAGAAUAGCCCGGGGAAACUCGGAUUAAUACUCCAUAACAUCAAGAAAUCUCCUGGUUUUUUGAUUAAAGUUCUGGCGGUUAGAGAUGGGCAUGCGUCCUAUUAGUUAGUUGGCGAGGUAACGGCUCACCAAGACAGCGAUAGGUAGGGGGUCUGAGAGGAUGAUC